rnacentral:rRNA from 1 species
CCCUUAGAUGUUCUGGGCCGCACGCGCGCUACACUGAUGCAUUCAACGAGCCUAUCCUUGACCGACAGGUCCGGGUAAUCUUUGAAUCUGCAUCGUGACGGGGAUAGAUUUUUGCAAUUAUUAAUCUUCAACGAGGAAUGCCUAGUAGGCGCAAGUCAUCAGCUUGCGUCGAUUACGUCCCUGCCCUUUGUACACACCGCCCGUCGCUCCUACCGAUUGGGUGUGCUGGUGAAAUGUUCGGAUCGGCCGUUUGUCGCGGUUUCCGCGUCAUGUGGCUGAGAAGUUCAUUAAACCCUCCCACCUAGAGGAAGGAGAAGUCGUAACA